CCCCUCUCGGGAUCAUACCUGGAGGAUUUCCAGGAUUCUACCAGUCCCAGUUAUGGGAGGAAGAAUCAAGCAAAGGCAUACCCAUUCCAUUCCUAGCUUGGGCAGUGGCUAGCGAAUGGAGGGCAAUCUGCAACAAGU
rfam:Ornithorhynchus anatinus chromosome 7, whole genome shotgun sequence.